CAAAUUAACGGAGGAGAAGAAAGGAUCUGCAUUUUCAGUAGCUUUCAAUUUUUGCCUAAUUAAAUUUCUUUAAUGCAGUCAGAAAUUAAAGGGAAGCCCAACAAUUGGUCCUUCAGGUGAAAGAAAAGUUGAUGUAAAGGCAGGAAGGGCUGAUGCUGUACUCUGUUCUUCCAGCCCUAAGUUGGUAUUUUACAGUUGAAAAAUGGUAGCGAUAUGAAAAGUGCAGGGUUCAUUUCACUUUACAGCAAUAACAGCUUUUUGGCCUAGUGCAGAGAAGUUAUCCUCCAAUAUAAUAUGCUUCAGGAAAAAGGAAAAGCAGCAGAAAUCUGUAAUGGAACAGAAUCAACUGGUUUCUGGGAGAAUCUGCCCGAAUCUUUUUCUUCAACUGAGACGCGUUAGAACAGCCAGGACCGUGUCGGUGCUCCCAGCUGCAGAAGGUGUGCUCAGCAGACGGAUGGAGCGAGGGCAGGCAGGGAUCUGUGUUGGUGCCUGUGCCAGGGUAGGAAAGCAGCCUUGUGGUGGCUCUCCAGGACUGCUGUGUGCAAAGGGAACUGCGCAGAAAACUCACUCUAAGGACUAGUGCUUAAAUGUGCACUGAAAUAUUAAUGCAACCUCAUUUUCAGAUGGCAGGACUCUCCUGAACGAAGCCAUAUGUUGUACUCGCGGGGGACGAGAGGCGGCUCAGUCUCGGCUUGGAGAAACGCGGUGAUGUUGAGAAGACUGACCUGAGUCAAGUUCAGGGUUUCAGCAGUUUUCUCCUCUACUUCGUCUUUUCUGCUUCAGAUUUUAAGAUUUUUUUUACUACCUGUAGGAGAAGGCUGACAUCUCUCCUGGUUUUACAGAGGCAUCUGUGGUGCCUCCUGUAGGGAUGGCCUCCAGGCCGGCUGUGGUAUGGUGUUAGUGGUGACACAGAUGUAACCUCCGGCAGCUGCCAGCCCUUCUUGGCCAAAUAAAGUGACUGUUUAAGCCUAUCUCUGUCAUUCCUCUCCUCUGGUUUGCAUUAGGUGCAGUGCUUUUGGGAUUAUUUCAGGGCUAGCUGCCUCAUGGUUAUGUUUCCAAGUGCGGUCAGUCAUCUCCAGGGAGUGUUUUGAAGUGUGUUUGGCUUAGUGGAGCCACUUUUUGAAAACUGUAGGGUCUUAUAAAUCCCAAAAUGGAGAUGCAGGCAAGUUGUGAUGAUAAGAGCCUUUGCAGUGUCAAGUAUCUCUCCGCAAAUUGUAUGUCUGGCUUUUCCUGCAGCAUCGCAGGGAAGUCCUGCAGGGCCCUGUGUACAGGGGAGGUGUCUCCUCCUCCCUGCUGACAGCCAAAUUGCACAGUGCCAUGGAUAAUUUUAUAUUCAAUGCUUCUCUAAUGUUGCAUUUCCAUGUAAAAAAUUGCUGUCUUUGCCCCUAGGAACAUUAUAAAGCAGCCUGAAACUAUGUUCAAUAGUCCUAGUAUUAUUUCAUACCUCUCACUGAACAAAACGAAUGAUGAGUUGCUUGUCCCCAAAUGGAUGAUGAAUAUGAAACACUACAACAGAGGUUCUGUGUGAAGAUUGAUGGAUUUGGGUAAUGCCUUUUUUAUUAUUUUCUCUGUAGCUAAGUUCUAUUUAAAACCUUCCCAUUCAGCAACUCACCUGUGAAAAUUAAUUGAGCUGCUUUAUGUACGUUGGGCUAAUUUCCAUAUUUUACACUACCUUUUCUAAAAUGAGUUAAAAACCCAGUCACUUUAGAAAUCACAACACAAGGAGGUUGGGAUAACUAGUGCUCACAUGGUAGUUUCAUUUCUGUUGAAACAUUUCAUAUUAGUGUAAUUGACCAAGAAUUAGGAUAAUUUUUAAUAACAACAUAUGGCAAUUAUGACUGAAAAUGUUUGAGAUACUUCUGAUUUGUUUAUAUCAUGGCUGUAAAUGUUAGGAAAAACAAUGUGAAAUUCCUCCUGAAUCGAACUACUUGUUUAUUUCUACUGGAUAAUUUCCUGCAGCCUAAGUGAACUAUUAAAUUAAUCACACCAUA